rnacentral:lncRNA from 1 species
GGCCUCGUCUGUGAUUUUCCUUCCCCGGUCGGCGCAUCGCGAGCUCUUCUCCGCGCGAUUCGACCGAACAAUGCUGCUUAAACGUGCUUUCCCGUGAACUUUCCUCGGAAACUUUGAGCUUUCACGUUGGCAGCCAGUUGUGGACCCUCGUGCGGCCUCAGCGAAAGUUCUCUCCUUUGGGUAUUUCUUUUCAGUCUCCCGACUGUUCUCGAUAGUGGUUCUUGUGCAGCUCCAUGCCGCUAGUUCCGGGAAGACUCUUCAAAGGUUUCAAGCUUGAAAUCUUUGCCCGUUCCGGAUGCCCGUUUUCUAUUUUCAUUAUGGUGCUCCAAUCGCUACUCCCUGAAAUCGGCGGAGCAGGAUCGUGUCAACCGGUCGCCUAGAGCGCAGCCAUCCAUUGAUCAAAAUGGUGACUGCCUGAAGCAAGUCACUAGAUCAACCGCGUGACCUGGUGAAAAUCAUCCAAGUCCAAUACCUUUCCCCAUCCUCUCAAACCUGCGAGCGUUAACCUCAGACUAUCGCAAAAAACCAGAACAUCAAGCUCGAUUGAUUUUGAUGCUUUAUUCAGCUUCAUAAAGUAUCAAAAGUAAUCACUCGAACAUGGGAAUCACAAGGAGUGGUCAAAUGCGUUCCCCGCAUCCCACGCAAAUCCCCCUAAUUAUUAGUUUACAUUAUGGGUAGUCGUUUUUUAAAUUGAUUUUUUAUUCCAGAUUUUUAUACUUUUAAUUUCCCGUUAAGUCGUUAUCCUCAUCUUUUGACCCGCAGGGCUCUUUCAGUAUUAUUGUAUUUUAAGUUUCGACCUCGCUGGAUCAACACGAAUUUUGUGUCUCUUGUCAUAUUUUUAAAAGCCUUGUUAAAACCUCUCGCGUCAAUGUUUUAGAAUUUUAGGAGCCAUCUGUGAUCAAAAUAAUUAUUGUCUGAUGCUUUUUAAUAUCAGGUUAUCACUGUCCGAAGGUCAGUCGUAAGCUUCGCCGCUAAGUUAUCGUUAUUCCGUCUAUCGACGUCUAUGAUCAAUUAAAAUUAGUUUAGUGCUUUAAUAUCCGUCUGUUUUUGAAGUGGAACAUUAUAAAACAUCACAAUUUCCAUCCUUGUUUUUCCGCCGUGAUUGAAUAUAUUUCCGUCGAUUUGAAUUUAAACUUCACGCUUCCCAUCCAUUGCAUUGACUGCUCCGGUCGGAUUACGGUCGAGUGGCGAAUAGUAAAGCAAUGAGGUUUAUUUUAUGAUGGUCUCUUUUCUUUCCUCCUCUUCUCUUUCCUCAUCCCUCUACGAGUGAC